UUCUCUCGAUGAUAAUUAAAAACUGAAAAAAAUGAGACUGGCAACAAUACAACAAGCAAUCUCCACUGUCCGUUGACCAUGCUUAACAAUAAUAAUGUUAAUGUUAACAACAGUUACAAUCUCAUGAGAAUCAAGGUUAACCGGUAAAAAACAAACUGGUCAAUAUGUGAAUACAUGAAAAGGUUGUUACCAUAAAAGGUACAUUUGUGUGUACAGAAAUGCAAAGAUGGCUACUCUUUUUGUUUCUCUCUUUCUUCCCUUUCUGUCUAUCAAAACCUUGGUAACGGUUCACUUUCUUUUCACCACGUGAUUUGCGCCUUUCUUUUGCGUCUUAUGUAAUCAUGUGUUUCUAUUGUCAUCAAUAUUUAUUCGGUUCAAUGGCCUUUCACUGGUUAACUCAACUAUUAAUUUGAUUGAUCAAGGUUUUGAAUAUGACCAACUUUGACAUGUCCUGCAAGUCAACUGUGGUCAAGUUGAUUGUUGGUACUCAUCUAAUUACCUGGCGAUAGUUGUCAUUAUCCAAGCUGUUGUAUCUGUUUACGAUUGCGGGUUCAGCUGGUGUCCAUGGUUCAGUGUAAUAGGAAGAAUCAACCCGAUAUUGUGGACUGUAUGUAUUGGGUAGGAAAUUUGGUCUUGAUCCAAAGUUGGAAUCACAAACCGAAGCACCAUCACGAGCUGUUGGGUUAAUUAUUGGACGAAUUGGUUGAUUAACUGGUAGUUUAUAAUUAUUGGCUCCUAAUCUGAUAAUGUAAAGAAACAUUCCAACAUUUCAACAUGACAUACACAAAAGGAGCAAGAAUUAACUUUUAGUGUAUUGAUUUUUUUGUUUAACAAAAAAGUCUUUUAUUGUUGAAAGUUAUUACCUGUAGUUUUGUGUAUCUAUGUAAGCCAGAAUACGUCCUUGGAUUAGUUUAUCUGGAGCCGGAUAUAUUCCAGGAAUUAAACUAGAAGGUUUGAAAGCUAA